rnacentral:hammerhead_ribozyme from 1 species
AUCCAGCUGACGAGUCCCAAGUAGGAUGAACCCUGCGUCCUACAU